CAAUAGCGUAUAUUAAAGUUGUUGCAGUUAAGAGGCUCGUAGUCGGAUAUCUGCCAUCGGAUCAUUUACUUUGACUAAACUAGAGUGUUUCAAGCAAGUGCCUGCUAUGAAUACUGCAGCAUGGGAUAAUAAAAUAGGACAUUGGUUCAAUUUUGUUGGUUUCAAGACCCAAUGUAAUGAUUAAUAGGAACAGUUGGGGGCAUUCGUAUUCAACAGCUAGAGGUGAAAUCCUUAGAUUUGUUGAAGACGAACUACAGCGAAAGCAUUUGCCAAGGAUGUUUUCAUUGA
rnacentral:rRNA from 1 species